UACGUAGGGGGCGAGCGUUGUCCGGAAUCAUUGGGCGUAAAGCGCGCGUAGGCGGCCAGAUAAGUCCGGUGUGAAAGUCACAGGCUCAACCUGUGAAUGCCGCUGGAAACUGUCUGGCUAGAGUCCGGGAGGGGCGAGUGGAAUUCCUGGUGUAGCGGUGAAAUGCGCAGAUAUCGAGAGGAACACCUGCGGCGAAGGCGGGUUGCUGGGCGUGACACUGACGCUGAAGCGCGAAAGCUAGGGGAGCGAACGGGAUUAGAU
rnacentral:rRNA from 1 species